rnacentral:SRP_RNA from 1 species
GGCUGGGUCCUGCGCAACGGCCUCCUGUGAAUCGAGUCAGGGUCGGAAGGCAGCAGCUCUCAGCGGGUCCGGUCGUGUGCCGUAGUCAACCUGGCCACC